UAUUAAUAUCAUGGAGAGUUUGAUCCUGGCUCAGAACGAACGCUGGCGGCGCGUUUUAAGCAUGCAAGUCGAACGGUAGAGGCUCUUCGGAGCCUUGAGAGUGGCGAACGGGUGAGUAACACGUAGGUGAUCUGCCCUUGAGUUGGGGAUAGCCCAUGGAAACAUGGGGUAAUACCGAAUAUGCUCUACUGGCUAUGGCUGGAAGAGCAAAGGCGCUUCGGCGCCGCUUGAGGAUGAGCCUGCGGCUGAUUAGCUAGUUGGCGGGGUAAAGGCCCACCAAGGCGACGAUCAGUAGCCGGCCUGAGAGGGUGAACGGCCACACUGGGACUGAGAUACGGCCCAGACUCCUACGGGAGGCAGCAGCUAAGAAUCUUCUGCAAUGGGGGAAACCCUGACAGAGCGACGCCGCGUGGGUGAAGAAGGCCGGAAGGUUGUAAAGCCCUUUUCUAUCUGAGGAAUAAUCACCGGAGGCAAUGCCGGUGAGAUGACGGUAGGGUAGGAAUAAGCCCCGGCCAAUUACGUGCCAGCAGCCGCGGUAACACGUAUGGGGCGAGCGUUGUUCGGAAUUAUUGGGCGUAAAGGGCGCGUAGGCGGAUAUGCAAGCUUGGUGUGAAAUCCCGCAGCUCAACUGCGGAGGCGCGCUGGGAACUGCGCAUCUAGAGUUCAAGAGGGGAAGCUGGAAUUCCUGGUGUAGGGGUGAAAUCUGUAGAUAUCAGGAAGAACAUCAGUGGCGAAGGCGAGCUUCUGGCUAUGAACUGACGCUGAGGCGCGAAAGCGUGGGGAGC
rnacentral:rRNA from 1 species